UACGUAGGGUGCGAGCGUUAAUCGGAAUUACUGGGCGUAAAGCGUGCGUAGGCGGUUCGUUAAGUCAGCUGUGAAAGCCCCGGGCUCAACCUGGGAAUUGCGGUUGAAACUGGCGAACUAGAAUCUGGCAGAGGGGGGUGGAAUUCCACGUGUAGCAGUGAAAUGCGUAGAGAUGUGGAGGAACACCGAUGGCGAAGGCAGCCCCCUGGGCUGAGAUUGACGCUCAGGCACGGAAGCGUGGGGAGCAAACAGG
rnacentral:rRNA from 1 species